AUUGGAAAAGACUCUGAUGCUGGGAGGGAUUGGGGGCAGGAGGAGAAGGGGACAACAGAGGAUGAGAUGGCUGGAUGGCAUCACCGACUUGGUGGACAAUGUUUGGGUGAACUCCAGGAGUUGGUGAUGGACAGGGAGGCCUGGAAUGCUGCGAUUCAUGGGGUUGCAAAGAGUCGGACACGACUGAGUGACUGAACCCAACUGAAAUAGAUAGAUAGUACCUCCCUCCUCCAAUUGAAUUCAUUUGUUCAGCAAAUAUUUAUUGCCCUGAUGAGUGUCAGGCUUUGUGCUAUGUGCUGGGGUACAGAGCUGAGGCUAAUAGAGAGGGUCUCUGCUCUAGUGGAGUUUUUAGUUCAGCUGGCCGUAGACAUGAGUGAAGUCAUCACAGUCUGCGUGUACUGUCACAAAGAAGCUGUGUCUAGAGCAGCUGUGCUCUAGGGAGCCUAGAAGAGACACUACUGCUCUGAGGGAGCCUCCUUGCAGAUUCUGUGGUGCAAGAGGAACCAGGUGAGGCAAAGGAGAUGAAAGGAGGCCAGCGAGUCUGGAGGACAAGAGUGGAGUGGGAGGGGGUGGAGGAAGGGAGCCGACUUUGAGGAGAAACAUGGAGAAUUUGUGUUUAGUUAAGUUGAAGUUGUUUAUGAGAUAUCCAUGGGGAGAGAGAGACCAGCUAAGCAGUAGGAUGUGCUCUUUUCAUGUGGAGUGGACAUCAUCUGGGAGAUGAAAAAUUACUGGAGAGCUCAUGUAAUUCCAGAGAGUCAGCCCUCGUCCUUCUGGCUGCAGGAGUUUGUUCAUCUCUGGUCUGCAGUGACACCGUGGUUACCCAGCAACGCCCUUCCCUUCUCCUGGGUACCUAACUUGUGCUUCCUCGGGAUGUCUGCUGUUGUUUCUCUCUUGUGUCUUCUGGAGUCUGCCAACUGCCAUCCGCCUGAAGAAGAAGAGCUGACUGGCCCAUGUGGCCACAGGGGAUUCCGGAGCCAGUGGUCUCCGUACUGGGUCUGCUCGGACUAGGCCUCUUCUGGUGGUGGACGCCCGAGGCCAAUGGCCUUCCCUGUUCCUGCCACGUCCUGCCUGCCGAGAGAAGGGGUCACGGGACAGGAGGUGAGCUGCCUCAUUCCACCAGAGGCCCUGCACUUAAAAAAGCUGGGCUGGACAUGUAAAAUAAAAGCCUGAGGAUGUGGUUUGGGUUGUCCCUG
rnacentral:lncRNA from 1 species